rnacentral:rRNA from 1 species
AAGCGCAUGUGCUGUGAGCUCGAUGAGUAGGGCGGGACACGUGGUAUCCUGUCUGAAUAUGGGGGGACCAUCCUCCAAGGCUAAAUACUCCUGACUGACCGAUAGUGAACCAGUACCGUGAGGGAAAGGCGAAAAGAACCCCGGCGAGGGGAGUGAAAAAGAACCUGAAACCGUGUACGUACAAGCAGUGGGAGCACCCUUUGGGUGUGACUGCGUACCUUUUGUAUAAUGGGUCAGCGACUUAUAUUCUGUAGCAAGGUUAACCGAAUAGGGGAGCCGGAGGGAAACCGAGUCUUAAUUGGGCGUUAAGUUGCAGGGUAUAGACCCGAAACCCGGUGAUCUAGCCAUGGGCAGGUUGAAGGUUGGGUAACACUAACUGGAGGACCGAACCGACUAAUGUUGAAAAAUUAGCGGAUGACCUGUGGCUGGGGGUGAAAGGCCAAUCAAACCGGGAGAUAGCUGGUUCUCCCCGAAAGCUAUUUAGGUAGCGCCUCGUGAAUUCAUCUCCGGGGGUAGAGCACUGUUUCGGCUAGGGGGCCAUCCCGGCUUACCAACCCGAUGCAAACUGCGAAUACCGGAGAAUGUUAUCACGGGAGACACACGGCGGGUGCUAACGUCCGUCGUGAAGAGGGAAACAACCCAGACCGCCAGCUAAGGUCCCAAAGUCAUGGUUAAGUGGGAAACGAUGUGGGAAGGCCCAGACAGCCAGGAUGUUGGCUUAGAAGCAGCCAUCAUUUAAAGAAAGCGUAAUAGCUCACUGGUCGAGUCGGCCUGCGCGGAAGAUGUAACGGGGCUAAACCAUGCACCGAAGCUGCGGCAGCGACACUGUGUGUUGUUGGGUAGGGGAGCGUUCUGUAAGCCUGUGAAGGUGUGUCGUGAGGC